rnacentral:sRNA from 1 species
UAGUGCUGGUAUGAUCGCAUCUGUUACUACAUGCAAUGUAAUCGUAUCUAUUCUUUNUUAAAGACUUUAUGAUCCAUUUGCCGUGGGUCCCACCAGCUAUGUAGGAAUACCCUAUCUUCUNUAUAAGAGCNUUUGAUA